rnacentral:tmRNA from 1 species
GGGGCUGAUUCUGGAUUCGACGGGAUUUGCGAAACCCAAGGUGCAUGCCGAGGGGCGGUUGGCCUCGUAAAAAGCCGCAAAAAAUAGUCGCAAACGACGAAAACUACGCUUUAGCAGCUUAAUAACCUGCUUAGAGCCCUCUCUCCCUAGCCUCCGCUCUUAGGACGGGGAUCAAGAGAGGUCAAACCCAAAAGAGAUCGCGUGGAAGCCCUGCCUGGGGUUGAAGCGUUAAAACUUAAUCAGGCUAGUUUGUUAGUGGCGUGUCCGUCCGCAGCUGGCAAGCGAAUGUAAAGACUGACUAAGCAUGUAGUACCGAGGNGGUUCAACUCCCGCCAGCUCCACCA